UACGUAGGGUGCAAGCGUUGUCCGGAAUUAUUGGGCGUAAAGAGCUCGUAGGCGGCUUGUCGCGUCGACUGUGAAAUCCCGCGGCUCAACUGCGGGUCUGCAGUCGAUACGGGCAGGCUAGAGUUCGGUAGGGGAGACUGGAAUUCCUGGUGUAGCGGUGAAAUGCGUAGAUAUCUGGAGGAACACCGGUGGCGAAGGCGGCAUCCUGGACCGACAUUGACGCUGAGGCGCGAAAGCUAGGGGAGCAAACGGGG
rnacentral:rRNA from 1 species